UCUCUCAAUUCAGACACCCUCUCUAACCAACUUGCCGCCGUCAGCAGUCGCGGAGCAAGCCGGAGAGCAGGGUUUUGUCGUCCUAGGGCUCAACGGAAGCCACCUCUCCACGGUGAUGGAUAUUUUUUCGUUGGUCUUCGCAGUGUUGUGAGGCUAGCAUCUUCUAUUUUCGGUUUUGGUCAUCAAUCAGAGGAAUAUCGAAGGUGAAGCGUGGAAGAAAAGCUUCCAUUCGGCGCUGAGUAUAUCUUCGUUGGUCUUCGUGCUGCCGUGUGCCUUUGCGUCAGUGGCCUCCGUCAGUAGCCGCGAAGCAGGACGGACAGCAGCCCUCCUUCAAGCAGUAGCGGCUUUCUCUCGAUCCCUCCUACGUUUCCCAUUCGCAGCCGCCUUGCACUCGUAGUAAGGAAGACCCAUCGAGCUGUCAUCCACCGUCUGGAGCAGAUCUAGCCUCCGGUUACGCCUCUGACCACCACAGACAGUGCCGGCGUCACCCACAUAGCAAGAUCCACUGUGAUAUCCAGCCCCCACCGCUCCUCUCUCUACUCCUCUGUUUCUCCCUUCUUCACCCCUAUACGGAAAUGGCCAAAACGCAAACCGCUCUCACCAAAGUGGAAGCACCAGAAGCAGAGCUAAUGCUGGAUUUUUGUUUGUGUACUUUGGGUUUUCGUUUUAUAGAGUCUCGAUUUUCCUGAAAUGGGUAAUGCUGGAAAUCGGCUUGUAGCUGCUCUUUCACUGGUUAGAGUAAACUUCGAUUGCAAAAAUCCAUUGCUUUUUUGGUUAUUGUCAAUGAAUGAUGGUCAUUGUAGAAUUGAGUGGAAUAAUAUAAGUAAUUUGUUUGGCCAUUUAAGGUGAGACUUUUAAAAUAUUUAAUAUCGGUUGAAAUUGCAAUUGUACUCAUAAAGUUGUGCUUUGCCUUGCUGAGGUUAGUGUAAUGGUUGUUGAUGUUGACGAUGCUUCCGUGGGUUGCUGUUAUUAUUGUAUUUUUGUAGCCGAAUGAAUGCCCUUGCCUCACGGAGUGCUGCGAGUUCUCUCUCCUCGGGCCUUAUUGAAAGCCACCCAUUGAAAAAGCCAAUAAUGGGGAACCCUGGAGGAAGAAAAGGUUGAGCAGACGCUUCUACAGCUAAGAAGUUUGAAGAAAACUGUAAACAAUCUGUGGAGCUUGCACAGGAUCGAGCACUACUUAAUAAUCAUGCAGAUGUGCCCAUGGCUCACUAUCCUUCCCAUGACCCUAGGGAACCUUUCAUCUUUAAUCUUGAGCUUUUGAAUUAGAGGAAUCUUUGUGAUUUUGGGUGGUUGGUGGGUGGGUUGGUUUGAAACUUGGAUUGGAGGUGACUAUAGGAGUGGGAUGUUCAGAUGAAGAACUUGAAGUGGUUUGGUAUCUUUUUAUGGAUAGGUUAUGUUGUUUCAAUGCUUCCUACUCUCCGGAAAUGGGUCAGCUGCAGAUGGGAAUUCCAAAAGUACAAAGGUGAAUCACAUGGAAAAGGUGGCGGUGUAACAGAAGAAAACUCCAAUGUGUUCUGGAAACUCGGUAGGCAAUGCUCCACAAAGACUAAGCAGGGCCUGAGGCGCCACUGCUCAGCUGCGGUCUACUACCCUUGAACAACUGUAACCCUCCCCUAAUCCUUCAAGCCGAUGUAAUCCACCAGCCAUGAAGCAACAGAUUUAUCAGCCACCGUUGACCAGCAAGCAAAAAGCUAACCGAGCUCAUCAUUGCCCAGCUCAGCCCCUCAAUAAUGCAAAGCCUUCUGUUAAUCUUCUGAUAAAACAAUACCAUGUGAUGACAUAGGUGGUUUGCCAAGUGUUUCUUGCAUACAGAUAUUGUUCGUGAAUAAGAUUAUCAAUUUCUUUUGGAUUAGGACCUUAGAGUUGAGAAUUUUGACCCAAAACGGUGAGUAUGGAUUGUGG